rnacentral:rRNA from 1 species
GAUGAACGCUGGCGGCGUGCCUAAUACAUGCAAGUCGAGCGAACAGACGAGGAGCUUGCUCCUUUGACGUUAGCGGCGGACGGGUGAGUAACACGUAGGUAACCUACCUAUAAGACUGGGAUAACUUCGGGAAACCGGAGCUAAUACCGGAUAAUAUUUCGAACCGCAUGGUUCGAUAGUGAAAGAUGGCUUUGCUAUCACUUAUAGAUGGACCUGCGCCGUAUUAGCUAGUUGGUAAGGUAACGGCUUACCAAGGCAACGAUACGUAGCCGACCUGAGAGGGUGAUCGGCCACACUGGAACUGAGACACGAUCCAGACUCCUACGGGAGGCAGCAGUAGGGAAUCUUCCGCAAUGGGCGAAAGCCUGACGGAGCAACGCCGCGUGAGUGAUGAAGGUCUUCGGAUCGUAAAACUCUGUUAUUAGGGAAGAACAAACGUGUAAGUAACUGUGCACGUCUUGACGGUACCUAAUCAGAAAGCCACGGCUAACUACGUG